rnacentral:lncRNA from 1 species
UUUGAUACAUGAUUAAAAAGAUGACCUUCACACAUAUUUACUUGCUAUUCAUUAUGUUUGCACAUAUUUAUAAGUGGUUUUGAAAAAAAAGACAAUUAGGCAACAAUAUUUUUACUUACAGUUAUUUCUGUUGUUCAGGGUACGUGUUUAUAAAUACUUACUGGCCUAGAAUGUAUACGUUUUUGUAAACUAUCACACAAAUACAUAAAUUAAAGGUUUAAUAAUACAUUUAUCAGCUUUCUAAACCUUUCCGUUAUACAACAUUACAUUAUUUUAUAUAAUCACAGGUAAGUAAAAAUUUCAAUAUAUUGUCAGCACUAUACUUAUAGUAACAAAAAUGUACAUAUAACAUUAUAUACAGGUUUAAACUAUAUACAAAUAAUUCACAACAAUCGUCACUGUAUUAACAGCAAUAAAAAGGUGACAUUACAAGUAUUUGUUCUAAACAGGUGUCAUCAAAAAGUUUGUGUUCUACACAUGUGAUAUCAACAUGUAUGUACUCUCAACAGGUGACAACAAAAAGUUUGUGUUCUACACAUGUGAUAUCAACAUGUAUGUACUCUCAACAGGUGACAACAAAAAGUUUGUGUUCUACACAUGUGAUAUCAACAUGUAUGUACUCUCAACAGGUGACAUCAAAAUGUUUUUUUUAACAGCAAUAACAAGUAUUAUGAGACACAACUUUUUUUUAUGAAAUAUAUGUCCGUAUUUCAUUUAUGGGAUAAUACAACAUUUUGUACAAAGGGAGACAACCAGAAUUUUACAGUCUGCUUACUGCAAGAAGAGCAAUGUGUUAACAAAAAAGUAAAAAGUUACUAAUCAGCAAAAUCAGUUGAGUACUAUCUCAUUUUGAAAUUUUGAAAACUCAAUUGUAAAUUUCAAUAUUGUUUUGAAGAUCAAAAAGUCAAUACAUGUAUCUACUUAUCUUCUUACAUAACCCGAACUUUUGUUUAAUAACAGAGGCAUCUUGAAGAUUACAAUAAAACAAUAAAUACUGUAGUGUUUUAAAAGAUGAAUAGUUUGAAAAUCAAAUCCAGAGUAAGAAAGUACAAAACACUUUAAAUCCAUGAAAAAAUUGAACAGCAACUUUUUCUUUGUCAAAAAAUUUCAAACAUUUUUACCAGCUCAAGGUACUGACAUAUGCCCUCUCUCAAAAACUGACACUACCAAUCUCGAAAUUUAAAUCCUGAAAGCAAUGUGCAUUAUUAACAUAUGAUAUUCUGGAGUGGGUGCAUACUUAUGUGUGGCAUUUGUUAUGAAAGGAAUGAAGUCCAGCAUUUGCUAUAAAUAUAGAGUAUCUUAGUUAAUAAAUGACUAGAUUUUAAUUAAUUCAAUCUACCCUGUAUUAAUACCAGUACAUAUUAAAAUGAUUUAUAUAUAGGACAUUAUUUCAAUGCAUAUACAGUGUAUACAUAGGUAAAUGUAAAUGUGUAAUUAUCGUUUAAUAUAAUGAGAAAGUGCUAUAAAU